rnacentral:lncRNA from 1 species
UUUGGGAUAUUUUGAAGACUAACAAUGUGGGAAUGAAUGAUCCAUUGAUCGAUCAUGAAGGUUACCCAAGGUCUGAUAUUGACGUCUAUCAAGUGCGCCAUGCAAGACACCAGAUCAAAUGUCUUCAGAACGACCACACAGCUCUCCUGAAGCAGAUUGAAGUAGGGCUGGUUACGGUCCACAGCUCUGGGCACGCACUGCAGA